ACGGAGGGUGCAAGCGUUAUUCGGAAUUACUGGGCGUAAAGGGCGCGUAGGCGGUUGUGUAAGUCAGAUGUGAAAGCCUUCGGCUUAACCGGAGAACUGCAUCUGAUACUGCAUGACUUGAGUACAGCAGAGGGAGGCGGAAUUCCUGGUGUAGCGGUGAAAUGCGUAGAUAUCAGGAGGAACACCGGUGGCGAAGGCGGCUUCCUGGGCUGUUACUGACGCUGAGGCGCGAAAGCGUGGGGAGCAAACAG
rnacentral:rRNA from 1 species